GGGUCAGUAGGUUGGUCGUGCCACCGGUACGUACUGGUCUCACUGAUCCCUCCUUCCUGAAGAACCGUAAUGCCAUUAAUUUGGUGUUGCGGGGAAACAGGACUGUUACUUUGAAAAAAUUAGAGUGUUUAAAGCAAGCUAACGCUUGAAUACAUUAGCAUGGAAUAAUGAAAUAGGACGAUCGAUCCUAUUUUGUUGGUCUCUAGGAUUGACGUA
rnacentral:rRNA from 1 species